GAUAUGACCACAGGAUGCAUGUUUUUGUGGUGGAAAGGUUUACUGGUGCAGGAUGAGCCCCGCGGCCUAUCAGCUUGUUGGUGGGGUAAUGGCCUACCAAGGCGACGACGGGUAGCCGGCCUGAGAGGGCGACCGGCCACACUGGGACUGAGACACGGCCCAGACUCCUACGGGAGGCAGCAGUGGGGAAUAUUGCACAAUGGGCGAAAGCCUGAUGCAGCGACGCCGCGUGAGGGAUGACGGCCUUCGGGUUGUAAACCUCUUUCAGCAGGGACGAAGCGCAAGUGACUGUACCUGCAGAAGAAGCACCGGCUAACUACGUGCCAGCAGCCGCGGUAAUACGUAGGGUGCGAGCGUUGUCCGGAAUUACUGGGCGUAAAGAGUUCGUAGGCGGUUUGUCGCGUCGUGUGUGAAAUCCCGCAGCUCAACUGCGGGCUUGCAGGCGAUACGGGCAGACUUGAGUACUGCAGGGGAGACUGGAAUUCCUGGUGUAGCGGUGAAAUGCGCAGAUAUCAGGAGGAACACCGGUGGCGAAGGCGGGUCUCUGGGCAGUAACUGACGCUGAGGAACGAAAGCGUGGGUAGCGAACAGGAUUAGAUACCCUGGUAGUCCACGCCGUAAACGGUGGGCGCUAGGUGUGGGUUUCCUUCCACGGGAUCCGUGCCGUAGCUAACGCAUAAGC
rnacentral:rRNA from 1 species